rnacentral:lncRNA from 1 species
CCCAAGUCAAUUAGAUACUGAAGAAUUGGGCGGUAUGUUUGCUCUCCUAGUGGGAAACCAUAUUCCCUCAUUAAUUUGAGAAGGUGAAAAGCCUUACUCAAUUCUUCUAUAGCAAUGUCUUCAUCAUCAGCUCCCCUAGCCUUCUUUACACACAAUUGUAUCAACUUAUUGUACUCUUUCAGACCUGUUUCCCGACCCAGAUGGCCAAACACCUCAACAGUAGCUUUAGAUCCUAGUCUUUUCGCGCACAUACCAAGUAACCUGUCAGAACGGUCCUCGUUACUGUAUUUAAAUACCCAUUUUUGUUUCCUCUCACGAGAUACCUCCUUCCGCUUAACUGAAAUAUCCCCACUAGGAACAUCCGGUACCCAUGGUAUCUCUAGUAUUCUUCUGUCUUUUUCUUCUUUACCAUUUUCCUCAGAAACAAGCUUCUUUACCGGAGGCGCUACAAACAGAAACAGCGCGCGCGCGCACAAAACCGAUAUAAGAUAACAAGAAAACCAUAGCCAUAUUCGAAACCCCUACUCCCCUCAUCAUCCUAGAGUAAAAUCCAAAACUCAAACUCACACAGUAAAUUUCACAAACACUUACAAGGCAAUAUAAUAGAUGCAAGCUGAGUCGUCGCAACAUCCGAAUCAGACGAAUCCUCUGCACCAAAACAUCAAAAAACCAAAAUUGUCACACACAAAAAUAGCCCAACAACACAGAAAGCAAACAAAAACAACACUUUUUGCUCAUUCAGCUCCAGAAAACAAGACCCAUUAAAGCAAUAAACCGCAUCAAUAACUUUUAACAAAAACUAAAAUGUGGGUAUGGGUAAAAAUUGAAACUUUGAUGUGGGUUUAUAGUUUAAAGCACCUGGGGUAGAAGCACGGUGGAGUUUGAGAGUUGAGAGUUGAAAGUCUGAAGUGGAAUCGUGAUGGGGUUCAGGAGAAGAGACUAUAUUGGAAAUGGCGAGUUCGAAUUUGGGUUUGCGGUGUAAAUUUGAACGGAAAUAGGAGCUGAGAGUGCAUAGUUUUCGAACGCGCAUCUAGGCUACAAUGUGAAGAAGAAGAAGAUGAAGAUGAAUUUGAUGUUUGCUUCAAAAAAUGAAGAAAUUGUUCUACUUUUUCUGAAUGAUUUUCGAGUUCAAGUGGGAAAUAGAAGAAGAAAGAAGAAAUGGAGUUUGCAACAAGAAACAAAAACGAAAAGGUAGCAAAAAAGAGUGUUAUGUGAAAUGUGUGUGAAUGAAUGGUGAAUAUGGUGAAGAAGCUCAUGCAAAGUUUCUUCCAAAAGUGCACAAUACAAGGUUUUAUUUAGUAUACCUAGAUGCCCGGGCACAUAGGAAAAAAUUGAACCAUAUUAGUAAAUUAUUAUAAGACUCCAAUUUAUAUAUUUCAAAAAAUCUUUUCAAAAAAAAAAUGUACAUGAAAAAAUAUUAGAAUUAGAAAUUGAUUUAAAAAUAGGUACUAUAGAAUAAAAAAUAAAGAUGGGAUUAUGAAUUGAAUUAAAAAGUAAGAUGAUACCAUCAAAUAUCAAUGUUCAAAAAAGAUAAUACCAUCAAAGUGUUGUUGGCGUUGUGGUAAGUAAGUUUUUUUUUAUAAAAUUGUGGUAAGUAAGUUGGACCUCCAUAAGAAUGAUAGUACAAAUUCGAAUAUCGAAAAAUACAUUUAUUAGUAAGGAGCAUGCAACUAUAUCCUAAACGAGUGGUAACCCACGUCAUCAUUUCAUAGUAACCCAACCGUGAAGUCGAACUGGCAUUCUCAGCUUUGAUAACAUCAGAGAAAAGUUCAAAUUCUCGAACCAUACCCAAGUCAAUUAGAUACUGAAGAAUUGGGCGGUAUGUUUGCUCUCCUAGUGGGAAACCAUAUUCCCUCAUUAAUUUGAGAAGGUGAAAAGCCUUACUCAAUUCUUCUAUAGCAAUGUCUUCAUCAUCAGCUCCCCUAGCCUUCUUUACACACAAUUGUAUCAACUUAUUGUACUCUUUCAGACCUGUUUCCCGACCCAGAUGGCCAAACACCUCAACAGUAGCUUUAGAUCCUAGUCUUUUCGCGCACAUACCAAGUAACCU